rnacentral:rRNA from 1 species
AGGACGAACGCUGGCGGCGUGCUUAACACAUGCAAGUCGAGCGGAAAGGCCCUUCGGGGUACUCGAGCGGCGAACGGGUGAGUAACACGUGAGCAACCUGCCCUUAGCUCCGGGAUAGCUCCGGGAAACCGGAAUUAAUACCGGAUAUGACCUAGGCCGACAUCGGCUGUGGUGGAAAGUUUUUCGGCUGGGGAUGGACUCGCGGCCUAUCAGCUUGUUGGUGGGGUAAUGGCCUACCAAGGCGACGACGGGUAGCCGGCCUGAGAGGGCGACCGGCCACACUGGGACUGAGACACGGCCCAGACUCCUACGGGAGGCAGCAGUGGGGAAUCUUGCGCAAUGGGCGAAAGCCUGACGCAGCGACGCCGCGUGGGGGAUGAAGGCCUUCGGGUUGUAAACCCCUUUCAGCAGGGACGAAGCGAAAGUGACGGUACUGCAGAAGAAGCGCCGGCUAACUACGUGCCAGCAGCCGC